AUAGGUGAGUGGACCAUCUGCUAUGAGAAUUUUUUAUCUAUCAAUUUGCUGAAUUACAAUCUGCACUAUUGGAGUCUCUCUGUUUUUCUUACAUGUCCAUAUAUCUACUACCGAACUGAGACACCUCCAACAUAAGAAGACCCAGCUACCUAUUCGAUUCUCUCUAGACUCCAGUAUUAUCACAGGUUUUAUUAAAGACUUUUCAGUAUUGGCAUCAUUUUUCCUGUUUAUUUAUAUAUUUGUCUUAUCCCAUUUUAUUUUUAC